GUGUCUUCAGGACUUGCCUUAAAUUAAUAUUAAUAAUGUACAUCAAAUUGUUAAAUCAGCCUCCGAGACUCCAGCUAACAAGAAUGAAAAGGGGUUCAAUAUGUAUACCUUUAUAGGAAGCUAACGUUACAUAGACAACUAUGAAGUAUCUAACAAAGAUACAUUGACCGGAGAGAUCACCGUGAGGGCUGCCUGUCACAGGUCCAUGAGGAAGAGCGAAAAGCAGCACAGCAUGAGAAUGGUGUUAAAGCACUCCGUACCAGUGAUAGUGGUCCAGAGCCACUGCUCCUGUAUUGCAGGAAGUGCUAUGUGCAAUCAUCUGGUGGCCCUUCUUUACCAGACUCAACUAAACAUUCCUGCUGCACCACCAGUUCACAGCUGCA